AGGCACCAAAAACGUCCAUGAAACCCUAAGGAUUCAGUCACCAAGUUUUUGGGGCUUAGGGACUCCUUAAAUAGGUAGGAAAUUAGGGUUAUCUAACAAGGAAACCCUAAUUUGACUGCUUAAGCCCUAAGGAGUCCAUGGAUCCCUUCUGGAACAUGCCUUGGACGAUUUCUACGGGUCUUACCCAUAUAAUUCGUCCAACCUAUUAUUCCAAGGUGAUCCAUAGCCCAAUUGCAAUUAUCUUAUAAUUACAAUUCUAAUCCCCUAAGUUUAAUUAAUCUCUUUUAGCCACAAAAUUAAUUCUUUAUUAAUUCUUGACUAAUAUUAAUUAAACAAUAUGAUUUCUCAUUUAAUAUAUUAUUCUCAUAAUAUAUUAAUAAAUCAUAAUUAAACCUUUCUCUCCUUAAUUCAUCCUACAUAUUGCUAUGGUGAAGGCAACCCAAAAAGACCAUGUUCAUAAUCGGGUCAAGUACAUACCAAAAUAGUUAUGGACUUAGACAUUAAUACAACAAUGACAUGGGAUGACUUCUCGACUAGGUUCUGAGCUGAGUUUGCACCAGAAAUUGAGGUACAUCAGUUGGCACGAGGGUUUCUGGAUCUCCGCUAGACUACUGAGACUGUGGCAGAGAUCGCUGCCAAGUUUCGGGAGAGGGCUUUAUUGGUACCACAAUAUUCAACAGAUGCGGAGAUGAAGAAAGUGAGGUAUCAUGAUAUGCGGCGGGAUGAUAUCAGGGAGUUUGUGAGUAUUUCGGGGUGUGAGACCCUGAAUGAAAUGAUCUCUAGGGCUCGAGAGUGGGAGAUUGAUUUGGAGCACAUUGGGAAGAGGGGUUUGGAUAAGGUGCAGACUUUGGAGGGUUCCGGGAAGAGACCCAAGACUUCUGACCAACGUUUGAGAGGCCAGCAGGGCCGAAGUAAGUGCAGCGCGUGCGGGUAACUACACGGUGGAGUUUGUCGUUCCAGGGGUUUGGGCUGCUACAAGUAUGGCAAGGUUGGUCACGUCAGCAAAGAUUGUCCUUAGGGGGGGCAAUCUCGUUAUGUUUUCAUUGUAAUCAAGUAGGCCACAAGAAGGUCGACUGUCCGAUGUUGAGGGGAGGAGUAAUGAGUGUGACUGCUCUGGCUACUUUGAGGAUUACUGAUGGAUAAGAGGGUAUGGAAGGAGCCCUAGUGGAUAAGAGAUGGGAUUUGCAGUGUCAGUUAAGAGAGGUCAGGACUCCAGCAAGUGAUGUCGCGGGUAUGUAUCUUUUGCUUUCUUUCAAGCUUAUUCCAUAUUUGUUGAUUGGAAUCUUGCAUCGGUUUGAGUAAGUGUAUCUAUGGCUUAUUUUUUUUUUCUUAUGUUUGGGUUAUAUCUUCAAGUAAGGUUAUAUUCCAUUUUCAUGUCGUGAUUUAUUAGUGGUUUGUGAAGGAUUGUUUCUCUUAUAGCGGGUGAAGGGUGUUCUGUGUUAUCUUGGUUGUAGUCGGGAUCAUUUCGGGGGCAUUGUGUGAAAGGUUUAUGGUUAGGAUUCAGCAGGUUAGUUUUCCAUUGUCUCCAAGAUCUAGUGGUUUUAUCCAUUAUGCUUGGAUUGGUUUUUGGAGGUGCCGCGAGAAGUGAUUAGUUGGUCUUCAUAGUUUGUGCGGUCUUUUGAGUUGGAUAGUAGGGAUCAUUAGCAAGGAUAAGUGUUGGUUGUCAGCAAAUCGAUCAUUGGAAAGUAAGAAGUAUUGGGAAUUCUUCGAUUCUUGGGUGUUGUGAGAAUUCAGUUGAUUAAAGUGGGGGAGAAUUGUCCAGGGAUUCAGGAGCUGAAGUGGUUUCAUAACUAGGAUGAGUUUCACAUCCCCGUCGGGGAGGAAGGUGACCCAAGUAGUUGUUUGAUUCAGGAUUGUGUGAUUUGGGAGUUUGGGAAACUUACCAACAUUGAGAUCGUUUUCUUUCAGUGCUUGAUAGCAGGCUUUGGGAAACCAGGUUGGGGUUCCAGGCAUGGCUCGAGUUCAGCUUGGGUGUUUGGUCGAGUGUGUGCUCGACUCUAGGUGUGUUCGAUUUAAUAGAUUAGGGGUAAGGCAAUAGGCCAUGAUUGUGGUUAGUGUAGAAGUGUUGUAAGACUGCAGGGUGGUCGUAGCAUUCACCGGUCCUUGUUCAGUGGUGAGAUUGUGGCAACAUGUGUUUUGCUUGCGGUUUUUGUUGGAUGGUUUAGGCCAGCGUAGGUCAUUUCGCAAGGCAGUAGGAGGGCCAUAAUAUGUUUGGAAUCAGGUUAUGGUACGUCAUGGGAGACCGGGUAUGAGGAAGGACUACAGUUGGUCCUGUAGCAUUCAGUUUAGCAUCGGGCUAGUGUCGAGAUGGGUUGGGUAGUUUUUGCCUGAAGUCACGAGGGGAGACUGUGUGGGAGUCUUUUGGCUCAGCAACCGGGAUGGAACCCGGUAUUUCAGAUGAUUGGCUGAAGAUUUGGGACUAGGGAGGUCUCGGUGGAUUUUGGAAAGCAGCUAGGAGGCAGCAUGCUGUUUCGGACAGUUUCAGUGUUUCGGGCAGCUUCAAUGUCUCAGGCGGUAUUAGUGUUUAGGGAUUUCAUGUAUAGGUGAAGUAAUUGGGUGAUUGGGAAAUGCUAAGUCACUCGCAGCGGGAUUAAAUAAUCUCAGAGUAAUUCAUAUGACCAUGUUGUCCAGCCCUCGUCUGAGUCUAACCGUUGCAGGGAUGAAUCUUCUACUCAAAGGAUUACUUGAGCUUAUGUCGGGAAUAAGUGUUCUGUAGCUGUAUAAUGCCAGUGAUUUUGUUUCCCUUUUGAAGCAGUAAUGUGUUUAGAGAUUGGAAGCAUUUUGUUUGGUGUGAAACUCUAUGAGGUUGGCUCAGUGGCGAUUCAGCAUGGGAGGUCUGACAGGGAGUCAGACCAUUGAGACUUAGGUUUCAUACUUCAGGUGAGAUAGGAUUGGUUUUAUUUGAGCGAUUGAGGAUUUGUUUUCAUUAGGAUUGAAGAACUAUUCUAGGGAUGGUUUCAGUAGUUUCGGAUAGACCGUUGUUGAUAAGGGUUGGAAGUUUUAUGUUCGGUUUGUUUCUCGUCAAAAGUAUGGCAUGGAGUUGUUUCAGCAUGGGCGGUCUUUCGGAGAGUCAAACCAUAAUAGAUUUUAGGUCUUAGAAAGGUAGGAGUGGUUUGCAAGGACUGAAGGAUUGAUUGUGGUUUUCAGAUGGAAGUUUCAAUUGGGUUUCCAGGUGUCUUGGGGAGAUUGUCUUAUGUGUAAAAUUUUCGAUUGUGUUUCUCGGGUUGUUGUUUUGAUAAGAGUGUUAAUAAGGAGUGAUUUCGAGGACAAAAUCUAAUUUAAGUGGGGAGAGUUGUAACGUCCAGAAUCUAGAAGAUCAAUUGUGUUAUAAAUCUUUUUUUAAAGACCAACUCGUCGAGUUGAUAGUGGGCGACUCGAUGUGUUGGAAGCUUUUGGAAAACACGUUUUUAAGGACCAACUCGUCGAGUUGGUGGAGGGAACUCGAUGAGUUGGAAACUGUUUGAGAAAACCCUAAUUUCUAGGGUUCUAGCCAUAUAAAUAUGUCAUUAUGUCCCAUACGCUAGCCUCCUUAGCCCAGAAACCCUAAAACCUAACCCUUAUCAUGUAACACCGUAAAAAUUAAAACAAUUUUUCGCAUUUUCAAACACAUUAAUUAAUAAAAUGUCAUUGUAUCAUAUCUUGUUUCACAAAACAUUCCUCAAGAUCGAAAUACAUAAAAUCCUGUGUGUGUGAGUACGAAUCAUGUCGGCGCCUUCCCGCGUUCAUCACUGGUACCUGAAACACAUAACACAUAACACUGUAAGCAUAAAGCUUAGUGAGUUCCCCAAAAUACCACUCUAACACAUAUUAGCCACUCGAGGCUAUAACUCUGUUUGACCCUCUGGUCAAUGUGUCUUAGUGGGACCCUCCAGUCCCAACUCUCUGUGGGCCCUCUGGCCCUAACUCUGUGGACCCAAAGGUCCUAACUCUAUGGACCCACUGGUCCUAACUCUAUAAACUCUGAAUCAUGCAUAUCACAUAUUACAAUAUUCAUAACACAUAAAUAGCAUGCAAUACACUGGCACCUAACUCUGAAAUACACUGUCACAUACUCUAGUAAAGUAUAGUGAGAAGACUCACCUCUGGUAACUUAGUAAAUCUCUGACUCGGUAAACGCUGGUCUAGCCUCCGCCUAAUCACAUGAAAUAAAUACCCUAUUUAAUAUAACUCUCAAAGGCUAGACUAUGUCCUCUUAUGACACUCUCAGAAGGGUAAAAGACCAUUUUACCCCUCUCAUAACUCAAAAGGCUCCACAAUAGACCAUACCCAAAAAGUCAACCAAAAGUCAACUUUCUGGGUUACGCUGAGCGUACCCGACUGCCUCUCAGAAUCGGGGAACGCCACCCAGUACGCGGCGCGUACUGGGAUUACACCCAAUGUACUCCCCUGCUUCAGCCCUUUAGCUCUUGAGGUCUUAAACAGUUAAGACCCACAUCCAACUUCUAGAUCUGACCACUUCUAAGCCUCUUAAUCCAUAAAGUUGAUGACUUUAAGCCUUUGCAUGGCUGAACAAGUCACCAACUCCCAUAAUAUUCCAUUCUCUAACUCUAGAAGGCUUAUUACUCAAGUAUGACCUCAUAUUAACAACCAAGAUGGAAACUUUAUGGAUCUAAACCACUAAUACCACUGAAAGGGACAAAUCUCGGACCAUGGAGCACCUUACACUCAUAAAGUCUCCACCUUUGGGGGUUUUAACCCUAGAAAUGGCACAUGCAACAACAAACCAAAAGAAGAGGAAAGUUUUGAACUUUAUACCUCUAAGUGUAGCCCCUUUCUCUGUAGAUCUCAGAUCCAAACUUGCACUUCAAGCUUUAGCCUCCAAAAGCUCCUGUCCUUCUUCUCCACUAAGUCACCAAUGCACUAUUAGCUCCAACAAUACUCACACACUCACAAAGAACGAUGGGAGGCUCUCUCUUAGGGUUUCAUUCAUUGAUAUGGAGGGUGAGAAAUGAGCCUUGGCACCCUUUAAAUAGUGUACAAGUCAGAUUAGGGUUUUGCACCUGGGCCGGGUACGCCCGGCAUAACUCUGGGUACGCCCAGCAUACCUUGGCGACUCGCGUCCAAAAUAAGCGCAUGAGUACGCGCAACGUACUCCCAAGUACGCCCAGCGUACUCAUUUGCCACAUAUUUCCUCUAAAGGGUUAAACUUGACAACAAGAGAAAAGAAAGAGGAUUGAAUAGUUGUACCUGAAUCUUGGGAUGUUACAUAUCAUCUUUGUGUAUGUUAUUGACCUUGUGAAGAUCAUUUUUGUAGGAUUGGAGCAUUGGAAAGAAAAUGUGGAAGUUGGUGAAGGAGAGUUAGUGAAGCUUGAGCUUGAAGAUCCAAAACAUCAUCAUCAUUUAGCAAUCAUUUAAGGUACUCCAGCUUUCAAAUGAAAGAGCUCAGGACGAUUGUAGGGCAUACACCACAUGUUUCCGCAUCCUGUGAAUUACUCCGAUUUGAUAAUGUUUCGCUAACUCUUGGUUACCUUGGUUUCAUGAAAAAGAAAUGUAUUAACGAUUUAUUAAUAAAAAAGAAUAAAAUUUUAUGUCA